UACGUAGGGUGCGAGCGUUGUCCGGAAUUACUGGGCGUAAAGAGCUCGUAGGUGGUUUGUUGCGUCGACCGUGAAAACCCGGGGCUCAACUUCGGGCUUGCGGUCGAUACGGGCGGGCUAGAGUUCGGUAGGGGAGACUGGAAUUCCUGGUGUAGCGGUGAAAUGCGCAGAUAUCAGGAGGAACACCGGUGGCGAAGGCGGGUCUCUGGGCCGAUACUGACGCUGAGGAGCGAAAGCGUGGGGAGCGAACAGG
rnacentral:rRNA from 1 species